AGAGUUUGAUCCUGGCUCAGAACGAACGCUGGCGGCGUGCCUAACACAUGCAAGUCGAGCGCGAAUGGAGCAAUCCUAGUAGAGCGGCGCACGGGUGAGUAACGCGUGGGUAAUCUGCCUGGAAGCCCGGGACAACCUGCCGAAAGGCUGGCUAAUACCGGAUAAGCCCACAGGGUCUUCGGACCCCGAGGGAAAAGAUGGCCUCUGCAUGCAAGCUAUCAUUUCCAGAUGAGCCCGCGACCCAUCAGCUAGUUGGCGGGGUAAUGGCCCACCAAGGCAACGACGGGUAGCUGGUCUGAGAGGACGAUCAGCCACACUGGAACUGAGACACGGUCCAGACUCCUACGGGAGGCAGCAGUGGGGAAUUUUGCGCAAUGGGCGAAAGCCUGACGCAGCAACGCCGCGUGUGUGAUGAAGGUCUUCGGAUCGUAAAGCACUUUCGACUGGGACGAAAACCCGCUGGCUAACAUCCAGCGGUUUGACGGUACCGGGAGAAGAAGCACCGGCUAACUCUGUGCCAGCAGCCGCGGUAAUACAGAGGGUGCAAGCG
rnacentral:rRNA from 1 species